AAAAUUGCAGAGCUAAAGAUAUAGCUACAAUCUUUCCAGACUUUGUUGAGUUUGUUUGCUAAUCAGAGAAGCUCACUAGUUCAGUAGCUGUCUCUUUGCUUUUGGGAAUUUUUGUUUCAUGAUUAAAAAUAAGCAAUUCAGAGCUUAAAAAAUUUCUGACUUUACCUCAUUUCCUCAGCUAGCAACUGGAGCUUGGGCUUUCAUCUAGAUCUGUGGAGAGUUUUUCAUGCAGUCAAUGAAAUCUUUGAACAGAAAACAGUGAUUUAUGACUGUGGUAUUGUUGUUCAUAUCUGGGUUCUAUUGGAUCUGCUACAAGAUCUUUGGCUUAUUUUGAUGUCUUAAGCUUUGAUUUCUGUAAGUGGUGUUAUUGUUCAUAUCAGUCACCGACGCAUCAGAGUAUAUGGAACCAUCUCCUCAAUCCCUCUUCAAUUCAGGUGCGUUAUGCAUAAAAUUCAGUUCUUUCUCUAGGAUUUGUUUGAAAUUCUUCUCGGGUAAGUUUGAAUCUAUUUUCUAAUUUUCAAUUUGCCAUGUAUUGUGAUCUAGUCUAGUAUUUCCUCUGAUGGUUGGUUAAGCUGGAAUUCCUGUCUAU
rnacentral:lncRNA from 1 species